rnacentral:misc_RNA from 1 species
GAAAUGCGAUAAGUAAUGUGAAUUGCAGAAUUCAGUGAAUCAUCGAAUCUUUGAACGCACAUUGCGCCCGCCAGUAUUCUGGCGGGCAUGCCUGUUCGAGCGUCAUUACAACCCUCAGGCCCCCGGGCCUGGCGUUGGGGAUCGGCGGAAGCCCCAUGCGGGCACAACGCCGUCCCCCAAAUACAGUGGCGGUCCCGCCGCAGCUUCCAUUGCGUAGUAGCUAACACCUCGCAACUGGAGAGCGGCGCGGCCACGCCGUAAAACACCCAACUUCUGAAUGUUGACCUCGAAUCAGGUAGGAAUACCCGCUGAACUUAAGC